AUUGAACGCUGGCGGCAGGCCUAACACAUGCAAGUCGAACGAGUGGCGGACGGGUGAGUAAUGUCUGGGAAACUGCCCGAUGGAGGGGGAUAACUACUGGAAACGGUAGCUAAUACCGCAUACCAUCGGAUGUGCCAAGAUGGGAUUAGCUAGUAGGUGGGGUAACGGCUCACCUAGGCGACGAUCCCUAGCUGGUCUGAGAGGUUGACCAGCUACACUGGAGCUGAGCCAGGGGCCAGACUCCUACGGGAGUCAUGAGUUGGGAAUAUUGAACAAUGGGCGCAAGCCUGAUGCAGCAAAGCGGCGUGUAUGAAGAAGGCCUUCGGGUUGUAAAGUACUUUCAGCGAGGAGGCGUUACGCGCAGAAGAAGCACCGGCUAACUCCGGGCCAGCAGCCGCGGUAAUUC
rnacentral:rRNA from 1 species